ACGUAUGGGGCAAGCGUUGUUCGGAAUUAUUGGGCAUAAAGGGCGUCUAGCCGGGGGACUAAGUUAGGUGUGAAAGCCAUGGGCUCAACCCAUGAAUUGCACCUAAAACUGGUUUUCUUGAGUUCGGGAGAGGAGAGCGGAAUUCCCGGUGUANCGGUGAAAUGCGUAGAUAUCGGGAAGAACACCAGUGGCGAAGGCGGCUCUCUGGCCUAGAACUGACGCUGAAGCGCGAAAGCGUGGGGAGCGAACGGGAUUAGAUACCCCGGUAGUCCACGCCGUAAACGUUGUGUACUAGGUGUUAGUGGCUUGACCACUAGUGCCGUCGCAAACGCAUUAAGUACACCGCCUGGGGAGUACGUCCGCAAGGAUGAAACUCAAAGAAAUUGACGGGGGCCCGCACAAGCGGUGGAGCAUGUGGUUUAAUUCGAUGAUACGCGAAGAACCUUACCUGGGCUUGAACUGUACUUGAUCGGUGUAGAGAUACACCCUCCUUCGGGCAGGUGCAGAGGUGCUGCAUGGUUGUCGUCAGCUCGUGUCGUGAGAUGUUGGGUUAAGUCCCGCAACGAGCGCAACCCUUACCCCUUGUUGCCAUCAGGUAAUGCUGAGCACUCUAGGGGAACUGUCGGUGAUAAACCGGAGGAAGGUGGGGAUGACGUCAAAUCAUCACGGCCCUUAUGUCCAGGGCUACACACGUGCUACAAUGGCCGGUACAAUGAGUUGCGAGACCGCGAGGUGGAGCUAAUCUCAAAAAACCGGUCUCAGUUCGGAUUGCAGUCUGCAACUCGACUGCAUGAAGCUGGAAUCGCUAGUAAUCGCGGAUCAGCAC
rnacentral:rRNA from 1 species